GGGCGCUCGAGGGAGACCAGGAGGCGGCCUCGGACCACCAGACCGUCCGGGAAGACGUCCGAGGUCUCGUUGAGGGGCUCGGCGACCCCGCGGACGUCAUCGUACAAAAGACGGCGGUGGAGCUGAACAGUUAGGAGACCCGUGCUGGUCACUGAGAGAGAGAGAGAGAGAGAGAGAGAGACGUUUACGUCGCUUGGACGUCUCACACGGACCCAACAUGUGUCGCCACUCACUCAAUGGGAAUGGGGCCCACAGUCCACUCCAGCUCCAGGACCCGGCUGUCGGCGUGGAGACGAACCACCUGCGUGGCCCACGGAGCGAACCUCUGCCUCACCUCCUGCAUGACUGACGUCUGAGGGAGCUUGUGUGGUGUUUAUGAGGAAGAGGAGAACUUACACCUGAGGAAAGCCGCCCUCAUCCUCUGAUCGGCGGGCUGCAGAGACAACAAGGACAGCGGGAACGAUGCAGACAACACUGAGGACACACAAGGAAGUGGUGGUCACCUUGUCUGUGACACAGCGCCCUCCUGGCGCCACUGAAGGCCUCUGUGGGCGGGGCCAGGGUCCUGGAAGGGCGGCUGGCAGGCACAGGAAGGCACAGCAGCGGCGCCGCCUGGGAGGGUUGAGCAGACAGAGGAGGAGGAGGAGGACAAAGUCUCUUUAGCACGCCUCACUGCGUCCUUUGGAAAAUUGCAUUCAGCCAGGAAGUGUCCGUUGUCCUCCGUUUGGGUGAGCCGGCUGAUCUCCUCGUCCCGCCUCCUCAGCGCUUCCAGAUCCUUCCGCAGCAUCUCCAUGUCCAGCUCGGCCCGCCCCACCGCCGCUCGCUUCCGGGCUUCCAGCCUGGCGCGGACCUACACAAGACCGCCAGUCACCAUUUGCCAGGCGGGAUACAUCGUGGCAAUCUACCAUGUAAGGCGACGUACACUAGAUUCAAUGGCCCCAUUCGUGGCGAUUUACCUGACACAUGAAACGUGACAAAACGUUGGCCGCCAGAUGGCAGUAAAGUGUCGAAUGUCCUAAAA